UACGUAGGAUGCAAGCGUUGUCCGGAAUUAUUGGGCGUAAAGAGCGCGCAGGCGGUUUGAGAAGUCAGAUGUGAAAGAGGCCGGCUUAACCGGCAAGGGUCAUUUGAAACUGACAGACUAGAGUACAGCAGAGGAUAGCGGAAUUCCCGGUGUAGUGGUGAAAUGCGUAGAUAUCGGGAGGAACACCUGUGGCGAAGGCGGCCCCCUGGUUGGAUACUGACGCUGAUACGCGAAAGCGUGGGGAGCAAACAGG
rnacentral:rRNA from 1 species